rnacentral:rRNA from 1 species
GACGAACCGUGCGAACGUUGUUCGGAUUCACUGGGCUUAAAGGGCGCGUAGGCGGGUCAGCGAGUCGGGGGUGAAAUCCCACGGCCCAACCGUGGAAGAGCUUUCGAUACUGCUGGCCUUGGGGGAGGUAGGGGCGUGUGGAACUUCCGGUGGAGCGGUGAAAUGCGUAGAUAUCGAGAGGAACACCGGUGGCGAAGGCGAGUCCCUGGUCCGCAUCUGACGCUGAGGCGCGAAAGCGUGGGUAGCAAACAGG